GGUUCCAUAGUGUAGUGGUCAUCACGUCUGCUUUACACGCAGAAGGUCCUGGGUUCAAUCCCCAGUGGAAUCA
rnacentral:tRNA from 1 species